rnacentral:rRNA from 1 species
GACGAACGCUGGCGGCGUGCCUAAUACAUGCAAGUAGAACGCUGAAGAGAGGAGCUUGCUCUUCUUGGAUGAGUUGCGAACGGGUGAGUAACGCGUAGGUAACCUGCCUGGUAGCGGGGGAUAACUAUUGGAAACGAUAGCUAAUACCGCAUAAAAUUGAUUAUUGCAUGAUAAUUAAUUGAAAGAUUCAACUGCAUCACUACCAGAUGGACCUGCGUUGUAUUAGCUAGUUGGUGAGGUAACGGCUCACCAAGGCGACGAUACAUAGCCGACCUGAGAGGGUGAUCGGCCACACUGGGACUGAGACACGGCCCAGACUCCUACGGGAGGCAGCAGUAGGGAAUCUUCGGCAAUGGGGGGAACCCUGACCGAGCAACGCCGCGUGAGUGAAGAAGGUUUUCGGAUCGUAAAGCUCUGUUGUAAGAGAAGAACGGGUGUGAGAGUGGAAAGUUCACACUGUGACGGUAUCUUACCAGAAAGGGACGGCUAACUACGUG